UUUGGGAGACAGCUUGGCAGCUGAUUACAAAACUCAACAGCUAAACGUACUCUUACCAUAUGAGCCAGCAACAGCAUUCCUUGAUAUUUACCCCAAAGAGCUGAAAACUUACGUCCUCACAAUGAUGUUGGAGGUUAUCACUCCACUCAAGACUUCCUGCUUCCACUGUUGCUGUGGAGAACUCAGCUGUCAGUUAACUGGGUUUCUUUGAUAGAGUUUAAGGCUCACGAGGGCAAGGGCCUUGUUAGUUGCUGCAUCCCCAGCACCUGACACAGAGCCUGCUACUUAGUAGGCGCCGAAUAAAUAUUUGUUGCAUGAAUAACUGGCACCCCAAAACCUGUUCUGCAGGAUGUAAAGUUAUGAAGAUCAGCGGGAGGUAGAAACAGCCGGCAAUAACCAAAGAGAACAAAAACAAAUAUGUCAAGAAAAGUCAAUAUGGAUCUUAAACAAAACUGCCUUGAAGAGGGGCGCCCGGGUGGCUCAGUGGGUUAAAGCCUCUGCCUUUGGCUCAGGUCAUGAUCCCAGGGUCCUGGGAUCGAGCCCCACAUCGGGCUCUCUACUCAGCGGGGAGCCUGCUUCCUCCUCUCUCUGCCUGCCUCUCUGCCUCCUUGUGAUCUUGUGAUUUCUGUGUGUCAAAUAAAUAAAUAAAUCUUUAAAAAAAAAAAAAAAACUGCCUUGAAGAAAGGACUGAUCUCGGCGGUGAGUGGCAGACACUGGGAGAUCCCCAAGACCCACCUCCUAUCACGGAGCUUGAGCUGUAGUGAGCAGGGACUGAAACAGAGAAUGGAAGUGCCUGGUUUAACUGGGCUCUGAUCUUCAGCUGGCUUGAGGACCUGCAUUGGACCAAUGUUUU